rnacentral:rRNA from 1 species
UACAGAGGUCUCAAGCGUUGUUCGGAUUCAUUGGGCGUAAAGGGUGCGUAGGCGGCGCGGUAAGUCGGGUGUGAAAUCUCGGAGCUUAACUCCGAAACUGCAUUCGAUACUGCCGUGCUUGAGGACUGGAGAGGAGACUGGAAUUUACGGUGUAGCGGUGAAAUGCGUAGAUAUCGUAAGGAAGACCAGUGGCGAAGGCGGGGUCUCUGGACAGUUCCUGACGCUGAAGCACGAAGGCCAGGGGGAGCAAAACGGGG